AUUAGGUGGAUUAAUAUAAUAUCGUGAGAACUUUAUUACUGCCCUUCCUUUCUAAGGUACAGAUUGGCCUUUUCCCAAGUGACCAAAAGUCCUCUGCAGUGCCUUCCAGCAUUCAGAUUUGUUGGAAAAAAGACAAGGAACCCCCCCUAUUUCCGGCUGCACAGUGUCACCUGGGAUUGGGGUAGCAAGGUCCAGCUAGGGGAGCUGUCACCAGCAUCAGCCUCCCAUGGGGGCCUUGGAAGGUGCCCUGGGAACCUACAGACACAGGUGGCACCACCACCUGACCUUCUCCCCGGCAAGAGGAGACAGCGGAGGUGAGGUAAGUCUGCGACCCACCGAUUUCGCAGCACCACCGUCAUCCCUGCCACCAGCGUGCCUCAUCUGGAUGGCCACACAUCUCUCCACAAAGCCACCUGCGGCCCGUGUGCCAGGCCACUCCAUGGCAGCCUGACGGAUCUUAAAACAACGACAGCAGCCACAAUGUUGGUACUAUUGCAGAAGAAUACAUGCUCAGGGUGAAAAUUCAGAGAGCCAAGGAGGAUAGAAGGUGAUAGAAAGUGAAAGACAGACCCCUCCCCCAUCCCCAGACUCCAGGCCUGCUUCCCAGAGCCCGUCGGUUUCAUCUGUAUCCUUCCAAAUUUUUCCACAGCAUAUAAAUGCUUUCACCUAUGUGUGUCUACAUA